GAUGAACGCUGGCGGCGUGCCUAAUACAUGCAAGUCGAACGAAACUUCUUUAUCACCGAGUGCUUGCACUCACCGAUAAAGAGUUGAGUGGCGAACGGGUGAGUAACACGUGGGCAACCUGCCCAAAAGAGGGGGAUAACACUUGGAAACAGGUGCUAAUACCGCAUAACCAUAGUUACCGCAUGGUAACUAUGUAAAAGGUGGCUAUACUACCGCUUUUGGAUGGGCCCGCGGCGCAUUAGCUAGUUGGUAGGGUAAAGGCUUACCAAGGCAAUGAUGCGUAGCCGAAUUGAGAGGUCGAUCGGCCACAUUGGGACUGAGACACGGCCCAAACUCCUACGGGAGGCAGCAGUAGGGAAUCUUCCACAAUGGGCGAAAGCCUGAUGGAGCAACGCCGCGUGGGUGAAGAAGGUCUUCGGAUCGUAAAACCCUGUUGUUAGAGAAGAAAGUGCGUGAGAGUAACUGUUCACGUUUCGACGGUAUCUAACCAGAAAGCCACGGCUAACUACGUG
rnacentral:rRNA from 1 species